GAGGAGGCAGCAGAGACUCUGCUCUCCUCGUUUGGAUUAAUUCUGAUAUAAUAACUGUUGGUUUAUUUAUCGGUGGAGCAGCAGAACAUUUUCCACAGACAGUUUUCCUGCCCGUUGGCUUGUUUGAACCAGUUUUCUACCUUCGGCUGAUUCUACCAGCAGACACUGAAAGGACUCUGAUAGUUCGAGUGAAAGUAGCAGUUCCUCCUGAAGGUCAGAGAUUGCAGCAUCUGAGGGCCUCUUCAAAAGAAGACAUAGUUGAUGAAGGCGUUCUGGAGCAGGACCAGAAAGACCACGACCAAGCAGCCUUGAGAUCUUAGGCAGCGUCUCCCUCAGGUCCCUCUCUAUCUCCCCACACAUCCACCAACCACUGGAACACAUCUGCAAAGUUCUGCUGGACCAGCUCAGCUUCCCCUCAGAAGAAGUGCUGCCACCUGCCAGAUGAAGGAGCCUUUUGAGAGGCAGCUGGCAUCGUGAUUGGACUGUACUUUGGUCUGUUCCAAUCCAGCUUCAGCUCCAGAGACGGCAGGCGGAACGAGUCAACGGAGGCCGGGUGGAUGAAGGCAUGCAGCUGAGUAGCAUCGUAUGUGUCUUAGAAAACAUCAUAGUAUAGCCUUUGGUAUGAAAAAACGCCAUCAUAUACAUCGUAUAUUGUACAAAUAACAAGUCAAAGGAAAGAGACAUACAUUGUAGAAUUGUAGUAAUUGUGGGCUGACUGAUUUACUGAUUAUCAGUAUUUUAUUUUUUACUGAUUUACGGUAAUAAAUCAAUUUAAAAAUUGCGCUACUUUGGCUCUGAACAUUUAUCUACCUGUGGUUGCUCUGUCUUCUGGAGUGAUUUGAUUGGUUAUAUGUCACCAAUAAAACUCCUUUAACUUAACAUCUGUAAACAAAACAAAAACGUAUCAACAAAGUUUUCUGUUAGAGUUUGUGUUCUUCUAAGUUUAACUCCAAGAUUUUAAAUACUUUCAUUUACUGCAAAUAAAUAUCUACUCCAAAUGUCUCACUAAUAAUCAUUAUCAGCCUUAAAAACCCACAAAAUACCCCUCUAUACUCGACCACACUUAGUACAGUCCAGUUCCCCCUUCUAUAAAUCUGCUUGGAAUCUUCCACUUCCUGUUUGUCAAAGUGGCCUUCUACCUGGACAGGUUUGUUGGAGCUCAUGCAACAAACAUUUUGGGUAACUGCACUUUAAUAUGGAUGGAUGACACUGAAUUAGAGUCUGUUUUAAUGAGACUGAGUUAAGAUGUGUAGCUCUGUCAUUAAAUAGUAAAUUAUUUCUCAGAAUUCACAGAGAAAAGUCUGAAAUGUUUGCUAGGUUAGCGUCCCACAUGUUCUUUGGCUCAGCUAAAGCUAACUCUCUCCAACUUCUGGAUCUCUUGAGUUGCUUGUUGUUAAAAUAUCUUGCUAGAGGUGCUGAAGCUCAGAAAGUCUGAGGUGUUUGUUAGAAAAUAAGCUCAUUCUCAAGUCUGAUCUCAACUGUCCUGUUUUGUUUGAACUUUCCCUAAACUUAGGAGUUAAUGACAGAGCAGCACAUCCAGACUCAGUCUCAUUUAUGUAGAGAUUAAACUUCAGUGUCAUUCAUUGAUGUUAAAGUGCAGUUUUUCAAAUGUUUGUUGCACAUGCUCCCAACCAAACCAGUCCAGGUGGAAGACGAUGUGAAGAGAAAGCUCCAGAGGAUGAAUAUCACACAUUUACAUUGGAAAUAAAUGUCCUUUAAUUAGACAUUGUCAUGCAAAAGUUGGAUUUCCCUUUAAUGAUGUUCAAAUCUUUGUUGAGUGUUUUGUUGAUGUUGGUUUCUAAAUGUUUUUUGACACUCGGCCCCAAAGAUUAAAACCUUUUACGGCUCACAAGCUGCAACAAUUCACACAUUAUCAACUAUCUUUCUGACUAAACUAAGAUAAAAAGUGAAAAACUGUCUGAUUCCUGCAUAAUGAAUGUAAAUCUUUUUGAUUUUUAUGACAGUAAACUGAAUAUAUUUGGGUCUGAUAUUUUAUAAACCAAAACAAGAGAUGAAUUACUGGAGAAAACAAUGAACAGAUUAAUGGACAAAGAAAAUGUGUUUUUCAACAUAUAUGGCUGAAUUACUCCAACAUUACAAGAUACAUACAAUUUUAAUUCGAUUUUAUUUAUAUAACUCCAAUUACAGGUAAAAUUGUCUCAAGACGCUUCAUUUUUAUAUUUUUUUGUCAUAUUUAAAAUAUAACAAAGUAAGCUAUUUAAUCCUCUUGACUAAUCCAAUUUAUUAUUUGUUUUUUAAGAGACUAAUCGACAACUAAAAUAACUGUCUCCACUAAAACUAAUAAACAUGAGGUCAAAUGGAAGGAAGCGUUUUAAAUACUAAGAAUAAAGUUUGUCAACAAAAACUAAAUCUGCUGGUGGAUUCCAUUAAAGUCCUAAUAAAUGAUAAUAAAGUGUGAUACUAAAGGUUUGUGGUGCUAAAAAUCUCCAAGUAAAGAUAUCAAGUUGAACAUCUGGACAGAGGUUGAUAAAAGUUGACCUCCCUUCAUUUCUCUGAAGCGACUCCAUGGAUUUUAUGGAUGGUGGUUAAAGACCUGCUCUUCUAGUGGUCUUCCUUCUAGUUGCUGUAAAAAGUCAGUCCAUCCUGGCCGACUUCAACACCUCUUCAUGACAACUUGUUCUGCCUCCGACCUGGUGGAAAC